AGCGAACGCUGGCGGCAGGCCUAACACAUGCAAGUCGAACGAACCUUUCGGGGUUAGUGGCGGACGGGUGAGUAACACGUGGGAACGUGCCUUUAGGUUCGGAAUAACUCAGGGAAACUUGUGCUAAUACCGAAUGUGCCCUUCGGGGGAAAGAUUAAUCGCCUUUAGAGCGGCCCGCGUCUGAUUAGCUAGUUGGUUGAGGUAAUGGCUCACCAAGGCGACGAUCAGUAGCUGGUCUGAGAGGAUGAUCAGCCACAUUGGGACUGAGACACGGCCCAAACUCCUACGGGAGGUAGCAGUGGGGAAUCUUGCGCAAUGGGCGAAAGCCUGACGCAGCCAUGCCGCGUGAAUGAUGAAGGUCUUAGGAUUGUAAAAUUCUUUCACCGGGGACGAUAAUGACGGUACCCGGAGAAGAAGCCCCGGCUAACUUCGUG
rnacentral:rRNA from 1 species